rnacentral:rRNA from 1 species
AGCGAACGCUGGCGGCAGGCCUAACACAUGCAAGUCGAACGAACCUUUCGGGGUUAGUGGCGGACGGGUGAGUAACACGUGGGAACGUGCCUUUAGGUUCGGAAUAACUCAGGCAAACUUGUGCUAAUACCGAAUGUGCCCUUCGGGGGAAAGAUUUAUCGCCUUUAGAGCGGCCCGCGUCUGAUUAGCUAGUUGGUUGAGGUAAUGGCUCACCAAGGCGACGAUCAGUAGCUGGUCUGAGAGGAUGAUCAGCCACAUUGGGACUGAGACACGGCCCAAACUCCUACGGGAGGCAGCAGUGGGGAAUCUUGCGCAAUGGGCGAAAGCCUGACGCAGCCAUGCCGCGUGAAUGAUGAAGGUCUUAGGAUUGUAAAAUUCUUUCACCGGGGACGAUAAUGACGGUACCCGGAGAAGAAGCCCCGGCUAACUUCGUG